UACGUAGGUGGCUAGCGUUGUCCGGAUUUACUGGGCGUAAAGAGCGCGCAGGCGGUCGUUUCAAGUCGAGUGUGAAAGCCCCCGGCUCAACUGGGGAGGGUCACUCGAUACUGAUCGACUCGAAGGCAGGAGAGGGAAGCGGAAUUCCCGGUGUAGCGGUGAAAUGCGCAGAUAUCGGGAGGAACACCGGUGGCGAAGGCGGUUCUCUGGGCCUUACCUGACGCUGAGGAGCGAAAGCGUGGGGAGCGAACAGG
rnacentral:rRNA from 1 species